UACGUAGGGUGCGAGCGUUAAUCGGAAUUACUGGGCGUAAAGCGUGCGCAGGCGGUUGGCAAAGUCAGCUGUGAAAGCCCCGGGCUCAACCUGGGAAUUGCGGUUGAAACAAGUCGACUAGAAUCUGGCAGAGGGGGGUGGAAUUCCACGUGUAGCAGUGAAAUGCGUAGAGAUGUGGAGGAACACCGAUGGCGAAGGCAGCCCCCUGGGCUGAGAUUGACGCUCAGGCACGAAAGCGUGGGGAGCAAACAGG
rnacentral:rRNA from 1 species